CGACAACACCGCCGCCACCAACACCAAGACUGCCGCCACCAACAACAACACCGCCACCACCACCACCAAAAACAACAAUUCUGGCGGCUCAGGCAACAAUGCACUGCAGUCAACCUCAGCUAAAGCUCCUCUUGUCCUGAUUGGUGCCAUUGUGGUUGCUCUGUUGUCAGGAUGACCUUUGGUCUGUUAAGCUGAUGGAGGAUGUGUACUGAUGUAAGCAUUUAUGUUAAUUAAAAACUUGUAUUUGGUAGGUGACGGCAACCUUAAGCAAUGUGCACUGCAGCACUGAAAUAAUAACUAUUCUGUAUGGUAUCACUUUCAGGACUUUAUACAUACCUGCUGUUAUUGUAACUUCAUUAAAUUUUUGAUCAUCUAAAUGUUUAAAAAUAAACCAUAUCAACAUCUGGGUGAAAAUA